GCACAAGCAGCGGAGCGUGUGGUUUAAUUCGAGGCUACACGAAGAACCUUACCUGGGCUUGACAUGGCGGUGGUAGGGAACCGAAAGGGGACCGACCUUCGGGAGCCGUCACAGGUGCUGCAUGGCUGUCGUCAGCUCGUGUCGUGAGAUGUUCGGUUAAGUCCGGUAACGAGCGCAACCCUUGUCGUCAGUUACAAGUGUCUGGCGAGACUGCCCGUGCAAAGCGGGAGGAAGGUGGGGAUGACGUCAAGUCAGCAUGGCCUUUAUGUCCAGGGCUACACACACGCUACAAUGGCCGGUACAAUGGGUCGCCAACCCGCGAGGGGGAGCCAAUCCAGAGAAAGCCGGUCUCAGUUCGGAUUACAGGCUGCAACCCGCCUGUAUGAAGUCGGAGUUGCUAGUAACCGCAGGUCAGCUAUACUGCGGUGAAUACGUUCCCGGGCCUUGUACACACCGCCCGUCACGUCAUGGGAGCUGGUCACGCCUAAAGUCGGUGGGCUAACCGUAAGGAGGCAGCCGCCUAGGGCAGGGCUGGUGACUGGGACG
rnacentral:rRNA from 1 species